UCUGUAGGCGGUGCGGCAAGUCGGGAGUGAAAUCUCGGGGCUUAACUCCGAGUCUGCUUCCGAAACUGCUGUGCUCGAGUGUGGGAGAGGUGAGUGGAAUUGCAGGUGUAGCGGUGAAAUGCGUAGAUAUCUGCAGGAACACCAGAGGCGAAGGCGGCUCACUGGACCACAACUGACGCUGAGAGACGAAAGCUAGGGGAGCAAACAGGAUUAGAUACCCUGGUAGUCCUAGCCCUAAACCAUCAGGACUUGGCGUGGGUCCCGUUGGGGCCCGUGUCGGAGCUAACGUGUGAAGUCCUGCGCCUGGGGAGUACGGUCGCAAGGCUGAA
rnacentral:rRNA from 1 species